AGCGAACGCUGGCGGCAGGCCUAACACAUGCAAGUCGAGCGCCGUAGCAAUACGGAGCGGCAGACGGGAGAGUAACACGUGGGAACGUACCCUUUGGUUCGGAACAACCCAGGGAAACUUGGGCUAAUACCGGAUAAGCCCUCACGGGGAAAGAUUCAUCGCCGAAGGAUCGGCCCACGUCUGAUUAGCUAGUUGGUGGGGUAAUGGCCCACCAAGGCGACGAUCAGUAGCUGGUCUGAGAGGAUGAUCAGCCUCACUGGGACUGAGACACGGCCCAGACUCCUACGGGAGGCAGCAGUGGGGAAUAUUGGACAAUGGGCGCAAGCCUGAUCCAGCCAUGCCGCGUGGGUGAUGAAGGCCCUAGGGUUGUAAAGCCCUUUCGGCGGGGAAGAUAAUGACGGUACCUGAAGAAGAAGCCCCGGCUAACUUCGUGCCAGCCGCCGCGGUAACAC
rnacentral:rRNA from 1 species